AGUGAACGCUGGCGGUAGGCCUAACACAUGCAAGUCGAACGGCAGCACAGUAAGAGCUUGCUCUUACGGGUGGCGAGUGGCGGACGGGUGAGGAAUACAUCGGAAUCUACUUUUUCGUGGGGGAUAACGUAGGGAAACUUACGCUAAUACCGCAUACGCCCUACGGGUGAAAGCAGGGGAUCUUCGUACCUUGCUCGAUUGAAUGAGCCGAUGUCGGAUUAGCUAGUUGGCGGGGUAAAGGCCCACCAAGGCGACGAUCCGUAGCUGGUCUGAGAGGAUGAUCAGCCACACUGGAACUGAGAGACGGUCCAGACUACUACGGGAGGCAGCAGUGGGGAAUAGUGGACAAUGGGCGCAAGCAUGAUCCAGCCAUACCGCGUGGGUGAAGAAGGCCUUCGGGUUGUAAAGAACUUUUGUUGGGAAAGAAAAGCAGCAGGUUAAUACCCCGCUGUUCUGACGGUACCCAAAGAAGAAGCACCGGCUAACUUCGUG
rnacentral:rRNA from 1 species